GAAACUGAAGUGACUAAAAUACGUUUUCCUUUUUUGCUGGGCAAGUUUUCUACGUGGAGCCAGCUCCUGGUGUGCUUAGAGAAGGGCUGAAGCCCAGCAGAGGCGGCAGCAGCAGGGCCCCGCACCUGGGAGAAAGAGGAGAUUGAGAAUGUUGAUGUCUGCCUUAGCUUUCUGGCAGCCAGAGGCGUAAAUGUCCAAGGUCUUUCUGCAGAAGAAAUAAGGAAUGGAAAUUUGAAAGCCAUUUUAGGGCUGUUUUUCAGUUUGUCUCGGUACAAACAGCAGCAACAUCAUCAGCAACAGUACUACCAGUCUUUGGUGGAGCUACAACAGCAAGUCCCUUCACCUCCAGCUGAAAUCAGCCAGUCCAAAACACAUCAAGAUAUGCAGUCAAGACUGAAGCUGAAAACAUAUUUUGAGAAGGUAGUUGCUUACUGGCCAUGACAAAAGAAUCAGUUUUAAACACAACUAUCUAUUUAAAUGGAAAGAGUAUUAGCAACGUGUACUUUAUUGGGGAAGUUAAAAAUAGCCCUUCA